rnacentral:lncRNA from 1 species
CAGACUGCAGCAUUUGUGCCCAGCCAGACUGCGGCAUUUGGCGGCUUGUACGGGGAACUUCUGAAGCUUGGAGGUAAGUGAAAUUUCUCACCCCUGAGGAAGAGCGAAAGAAUGGGUGACCAAUUCAAAAAACAAUGUGUUAUUGUUUUGAUUUAUUUUGUUUUUAUUUCAAGUUGCCUGUUCCUAGAACUUUCUCAGGCAAACUGGGGAAAAUGGUUGACUCAAGGUUUGAAGUUGUUCGCCUCUGAGGAAGAGAAAUUGUUAGAGGAAGGAGGCACCCCAGUAAGACCAACAACAGUUAGGGCAUAUGUUGAUACAAUACAAAAAUGUAGCACAUGGCCUUUGAAAGACGAGUUAUUAAGUAUAUCAAUGGGACCAUCAUGGUAUCCUGUAGAAGGAUUUUUCUUCAACAAGAAAGAGAGGGCUAGUUCUGUUUACUACAUUUGUCUAAGAUCUUGGUUUUUACA